UAGCGAAACCGCUUGUGCGGUCGUCGGAGCGUGGCGGCUCCGGCCUGAUGAUGCAGCCAAAG
rnacentral:hammerhead_ribozyme from 1 species